GAAGCCGCCUCAGCCGCCAUGUUCACUGUGGGACGAUAGCUGCCUCUCCAGCCGGACGCGAUGCCUGGAGGCUGCGGGCGCGGUCCUGCUGCCUGAAGCCCGAGACUGCCUCACUAGUCCUACUCCAGUUCCAGCCCAGCCCUUAAAAGAUGCACAGAGUUUCCAUGGGAGGCCAUGAGAUUCACUCACUUCAGUGCUAUCGUUUAAGACUGGUGGCAGUGGCUUGCCUGCCCUUCAUUUCUCCAGCCUUCCAAUGGUGGGGUAAUCUUCAGCACUCUUUACCAAGUCCCCGUGAGGUCCUUUUUUUUUUUUUUUUUUUUUUAAAGACAGAGUCUCACCCUGUCGACCAGGCUGGAGUGCAAUGGUAUGAUCUCGGCUCACUGCAACCUCUGCCUCCUGGGUUCAAGCGAUUCUUCUCCCUCAGCCUCCCAAGUAGCUGGGUUUACAGGUAGACGAGAAAGAUGUCUGAGAGCAUGGGUCUUGAUUAAUCUUGAUCAGAGUUCCUGAGCACAAAGGAUAUGCCCUCCAUUUCCUUCCUAAUAAAACAAUUGGUCCAAUUC